rnacentral:rRNA from 1 species
GACGAACGCUGGCGGCGUGCCUAAUACAUGCAAGUUGAGCGCUGAAGGUUGGUCCUUGUACCAACUGGAUGAGCAGCGAACGGGUGAGUAACGCGUGGGGAAUCUGCCUUUGAGCGGGGGACAACAUUUGGAAACGAAUGCUAAUACCGCAUAAAAACUUUAAACACAAGUGUUAAGUUUGAAAGAUGCAGUUGCAUCACUCAAAGAUGAUCCCGCGUUGUAUUAGCUAGUUGGUGAGGUAAAGGCUCACCAAGGCGAUGAUACAUAGCCGACCUGAGAGGGUGAUCGGCCACAGUGGGACUGAGACACGGCCCAAACUCCUACGGGAGGCAGCAGUAGGGAAUCUUCGGCAAUGGACGAAAGUCUGACCGAGCAACGCCGCGUGAGUGAAGAAGGUUUUCGGAUCGUAAAACUCUGUUGGUAGAGAAGAACGUUGGUGAGAGUGGAAAGCUCAUCAAGUGACGGUAACUACCCAGAAAGGGACGGCUAACUACGUG